rnacentral:lncRNA from 1 species
CAUUCUGAUUUUGAUUCUAAGACAAAAUAAACACAUAAAUGGCAAUACAACUCGUUCUAAUUCCUGCAGUUCAAGUAAAUAAAUUAUUUUGAUUCUAAUUAUUCUGAUUCUAACUCAUUAUGUUUUUAACUAAUUUCGAUUCAUAUUUAGUGAACAUACUAUAAAAUUGUAAACCACUCUAUAUUCAAUUAGACCAUGUAUAUUAUUUAUAAUUUAUUCAUAAGUAUUAUGAAUUUUAUAGGAUGUAAAUAGGUAGAAAAUAAACUAGCACAAUCCAAAUAAAUAAAUCAACCACAAGAGAUACAUAAUUUUACUUGGAAAACCAAAGAAAAAAAAAAAUCAUAAGACCGUAGUCCGAUAUAAUCUUCCACUAUAUUAAUGAAAUUACAACACAAAUUCUUCUUUAAAUAAUACUAGAAACUAACAACAUCAAAAAUCUCAAUAUUCUUGACUUACAAUAACAACCUAAUAAUUAUCUCUUUAACAAUUGAGCAUUUCAAAUGAUAGCCAACGAUAGACUAAAACAAAAAUCAAGAUCAGUAGGAUUGCGAAGGCGAUACCAAGAACUUACCCUUAAAAUUUAGCAAAAAAUAGACAUCUUCCAAUCGUCCAAUCAACAUUUGAAACCAAGCCCCCAAAUUUAAUAUUACGUCACUGUUCUCUCCUCUCUCUCUCUCUCUCAUCUUUUUCUUCUCCACAAAAAGUUGUUGCCGCUUUCACUUAUUCUUCUUUAUAUAUCCAUGUUUUCUAAACCUAAAUUCCAAAACUUGGUAAUAAUUACAAACCAAUUUGGUCCACUAAAAUGAGAUGGACCCUAUAAAUGCAAGAAGUUUCCUAGAAGUUGUGAUGUUAAUGUGUUACAUAUUCCACAAUGCAAGUUGAUUGAAUGCAACUUGCAUAUGUAAAUCUAAGUCAAUAGCAUGGAAAACCUAAAAUCUUAUGACUUAUUAAUGAGUGUCACAAUUAAAAGAGAAUUGUCGAGUGAACGAAAGAACCACAAUAACCAUUUUUUAAAAUUCUCUAAUAUACUACGUAAUUUAUCUUAUCAACCCCUCUUUCUAAUUAAUUCAUUUAUUUUUAGAAUGAUCCUUUUUAUAGAUUUAAAAAAAUAAUUAACAAUAAAUGUAUUUUUGCCCUCUCUCAUCUACUCUUUUAGUAUCAUAAUUGGACCUAGGCUAUCACCACUACCAGUAUGUAUUUUAACAGACGGUGAUAAAGAACCACAUUAAAAUUUUGGACUUCUAGAUAUUAUAAAGGACUACAAAACAUGAGAACCUCCAAAGAUGUAAAGAAUGGUGGAAUAAUGCAGGAAAGAGGACAGCCCCACGAAGAACUUCCAAAUUGUCCAAGGUCCGAAAUACGAUACCAAAUAAACAAUUUCCAGACAUAAAAAGGAAAUUAGCUAGAAAACAAGCUUCCAAAAUAUCAUAGCUUCAUGAACAGCAAUCAAGAAGAAAGUGAGAAUAUGCCAAAGCAAGAGACAAUUCACCAUCUUUAGAAAGUUGCCAAACAAUAAAAUCCAUUGCAGGUUCUAUGGACAAAACUAUAUCAUUGGCUUCAUUUGCACGGUCUGGGAAUGCAUUAGCAAAAGAAGUAGGAAGUUGGGAAUAGAACUUUUAUCGUUGACAACCAGAGAGGAGAGAAAGAGUGCAGAGGCAAAAGAAACAAAUAAAAAUAAUAUUUACUUUAAUUAAUUUUUAAUUUGUUAACAAGGGUAUCUAUUUCAAAAAAUAAAUGAGAUAAAUUGAAAAAUGCGGGCUAAUGAAAUAAAUUGAAGGGAUUAAUAUUACCUCUCUUAG